UUUAACUCAUUGCCAUAGAGAGAACAGAGCAUCUUGUUAAAAAAAUGGUGCUAUUGUUCCGUUGCGGGCAUAGAACAAAUCGAUUCCGUUCUCUCGUAUUUUCGAUCUGUAAGUUUGAUUCUUCGUCAAGCAGCUUGCAGUUUCGAGGGGGAAGGAUUAUCUACAUUCGUUUUGUUUUUGCUGUUCUUAAUCUUGUCUUUGAAGGCCGAUCCAAUGGGUUCUCAGACGUGAAAUUCGAAUACUCGAGAACUCAAUUUCACCCGGCCGAGAUUUGCUUUGGGGUACCCUCAAGGUUUUGCAUGUUCUAAGUCAUGCUCUAAUUCAGGGAACUACCCUAAAUUUCUUCUCUUCAAACAUAUGCAUGCGUUCUUUCUUUCUUUUCUUCCCAUUUAGUAUGAGAUUUAUCUUGGUAGAUACAUUCUGCAGCCUGUUCUUUAGUAGAUAGGUAGAGUUUAAAUGAAAUAGAAAUAGAUUUUAAAUACAUGAAAAAGGUAAAUAUACAGCAGCCGUCGGCCGUAGUCUGGCCGGCGACUGGAAGGAGAGGCGUGGAGGACUUGCCAAAUUGCACCAUCUUCGCUGGAUUUUUGGGGAAUUUGUGAGCUUGGAUGUGUUAACGGCAGAUGAGAGAGCGAGCUCGGGAUUCUUAGUGAAGAACGACGCCGGAAUCUGAGAAAGCAAAGCCAUGCUCAAUAGCUAGUGUUCAAACGAAUAAUGUUAUAACAAUUAUACUGUGAUUCAUAAAGUUAUGAAAAUGAUCUCAUGGGCCUCCUUUUUUUCAAGGAACUAAGUAUAUUGACGAUUGAUGCCUUUGGAAGGGAGAUUCCCUUAAAACAACUGCAGAAUUUCAGCGAAUCUGGAAUUUGGGACUCCACAACCAAGCUACUCCCAAAUGCUGUUCGAGAAAUCACAUCAGCAGCCAUUUGUUGUAGAUAAGGCAUUACGUCUAACUCACACGAUCCGUUCUCGAAGACCAUGCUUCCCCAUUUGCUAACCAUGUCGUAGCAGCUAUGAUAGAAUGCUGGUACCAUAACCUGUAAGCAAUUUAAGGUAUGUAUGUUCCAUCUUAAAAUAUUCACUGUACAAUAUGAUUCCAAGUAUUGAUGAUAGAAUAUUUGGUAGUCAUGCACAAGUAUUCAACAACUUUUUCUGUGAUAAGAUACCUUAAGCUUUUCUAAAUGAAAUGCAGGAUUGAUUAUCUUUCUGUGUUUCACCCAUUUUUCUCCUUCAUGGUUUAUAAGCCCAUUUGUAAGCAGCUUGAGAAGGGGAUACAUAACUGGCUUCUGGAUAUCAUUGAUCAAUGUAAGCACAGUUUUAAGUUGUUCAGGGUCCAUGAUGUGCAUUCUUGGUGUGGGGCCAAACCACAUAAAUGAAUUCUUGCCUGUUUCAGAACAAAAUUACAGGUAAAAUCAAUGAACAGAAACGCAGGGGAGUUCACAAAUCAUUCGAGAAAAAGGAUUGAAAGAUGAGGGAGAUGGAGAUUGGGAUAUGUUAUACCAUAUUUCUGGAUGGUAUGAUGAACAGAAGGAAUAACACGUGGAGCAAUAUCAUUGGAGAAGUUCAUCGGCUUGGAAAUGGCCUGCUCUCUCAUGGCCUCUCUGUCCUUCAGGUCUCCAUAGAGAAUCCGGUAAGAAUUUCCGGCGAAUCCUUGCUUCCUUAAGAACUUCUCUAAUCUCCUGGGCCUCAACCAAAUCCAGUUGAGAAGUUUCCCUCCCAAUACGACUAAACUCACCACAGCUAUCCAAAUGGAUACCGUGGCUGUGACACACGCCAUCUCGAUCGGUACAGACACAGUUCUGAACCUGAAAACUAAAUCAGAGCUGAGUUUCUUGAACUCUCAACGAUGGUGAAGGAGAUGCAACACAAGUCUGUUAUUUAUAUAGAACAACCACACAGUUUGCAAUAUCAUGAUAAUAGUGCUUGCACUCUAUGUAUAAAUUUUACUUCCAAAUUUUCAUUACAAUAAAUGAUUA